rnacentral:lncRNA from 10 species
UUAUGAUGGUAUGGGUCUAGAUAAGUGUUUCUCGAGUUUUCCCAUCCAGGUUCCUAUGUUGGCAGAGGAAAAUGAUGGUCUCAAAGUGCAAAGUUUGGGAGUCCCCAAAACCAUCCUCACUCCUGACACCAAUUUCAGGUUUUGCAAAGUUCAGACUGCCCUCAGGUUGGUUUGAUAAUUUACUAGAAGGACUCACAGAACUCACUGCAAGUCAUUAUACUCAUGGUUACAGUUUAUUACAGCAAAAUAAUACAGGCGGGGGGAAAAAACCAAACAGCCAAGGGAAGAGGCACAUGGUGCAGAGUUCCACAUUCAAAGCUUCCAGUUGUCCUCUCCUAGUGGAAUUGUGAACAGUAUGAACUUCUCGUGGCAGAGACACGUGACAGUAUGCAUGGAAUACUGCCAUCCAGAGAAACUCACCUGAGCUUUGUUGUCCAGAGUUUUUAUUGGGGCUUGGCCAUAUAGGCACAGUUAAUUGCCCACGAGUGACCUCAGUCUCCAGUUCCUCCAGAAGCUGAGCUGAUACAUUGUGACCCAAAGUCCCAUGGGCAUACAUAUUUAUUUUUCUUAAUAUAAGAUCUUGAAAAUGUAUGGAAAUUUUGCAUGGUUGUGUUUAAUAAAGCUCUUUUAAUAGACAAAAAUAUUUAGACUUACUUAUUACUGAGUAAAACUGACACUCUGAGUGACUUUUAAAAUGGGCUCACUGUUGAAUGCCUCGGAGAUUGAGGUACUCAGUUUGAGCAACAUGAGUUCUUGUUAUCAAACCAUCAGUGGUCUCUGUGAGACUUGGUCCAAAGACCACUUCUUACUUGACCUUUCAACAAGAUAGGUGCCUUCUUGAAAUGCUUUUCUCUUGCCUUUCACUAGAUCAUACACUUUAGUUCUCUUCCUAUUUCACAGGGCCCUUUUCAGUUUUCUCUGUUGUCUUCUCUGUAUCACCUCUAGAUGCAGAAGCACCUCAGGCUCAGUUCUGAGCCUUCCUCUCUUUUUUGUCUACCCUCCAUUUCAAGGCAAACUCACCAAGUUCCAAGGUUUUAAAUAUUAGUUUAUGCUAAUAACUCCCACAUUUACGUAACUGGUCCACAAGUCUUCCUGAACACCAAACUCCUGCAUGCAAUUUCCUACUUCAAUGUCUCAGAAGCUCCUCAAACUUAGCAUUUUUGUAGCAGAUUGUCUACAAAGAUGCUGCCAAUAAUUCCUCUUGUCUCAUGUUUCCUAAUGAUUUGAGUCAGGUUAUGAAUCUUUGGCAAGAAUAUUAUGAAAGUGGUAUUACAGUCUUCUCAUUGUCUUCUAUCAGAAGGCACAUGAUUUCAGUUUGUCGUGGCACUGAUGAUUUUACCUUUGAUUUCUUGUUUAAGGUUGUAUCUGCCAGGCUUCUCCACUGUAGUUACUUUUUUCCUCCUUUGUAAAUAAGUAUUUUUGUAAGGAGGUAUUUAAAGACCAUGUCAACAUCACAUUCUGCUUCAAAUUAUUUGUUUAUUUAUUCAUUUUGCUUGAGACAGAGUCUCGCUCCAUCACUCAGCUGGAGUCAUCUCAGCUCACUGCAACCUCCACUUCCCAGGUUCAAAUGAUUCUUGUGCCUCAGCCUCCUGAGUAGCUGAGAUUAAGGCACCUGCCACUGUGCCUGGCUAAUUUUUGUAUUUUUAGUAGACAGGGUUUCCCCAUGUUGGCCAAGCUGGUCUCAAACUCCUGGGCUCAAGUGAUCUGCCCACCUUGGCCUCCCAAAGCGUUGGGAUCACAUGCGUGAGCCAUCAUGCCUAGACUGUUCAUUUAUUUAUAUUAGCAUUGACCCAUGGCUUAUCAAAUGAGUUAUAAUCCAUUAUUAUUUAUUUUGAUGUUGAAAUUGUCUCUGAUUUGGCCAAUGGGAGCCCCUUCAAGCAGGCUUCUGUGUCCUUUGGACAUGUCCUCCUCAAGAUUCUUUGAUCACUUGUCUGCUUCCUGGAACAAGAUGUUUCAGGCUCAUCUUAUACUUUGCCUUGGAAUUAGCCAUUUCCAAGGAACUUUGAUUCCUUUUAAUGGAGAAUGGGUAUUUAGAAGCCAAGGUCUCGGUGCUAGGUGAGCUCAUUGCUAAUAAGGUGUUAAUGUUUCCAGGUUCUCUCACUAAUUCAUUCCCACCUCAGGGCUUCUGACCUCAAUGUUACUUCUGCCUGGAACUCUUCCCUCUAGAACUUCCCAUGGCUGGCUCCUUUUUUAUGAGUUAGGUCUCUGCUCAAAGCCUCACCUGCUCUGAGAAGCCUUCUACAAUAAUACUAUCAAGUAUCUUUCAAGUUACUUUUUAACUCAUGCCUUAUUUUGUCUCCAUGGUAACUAGAAUUAUCUUAGUUUUCUUUAUUUUUGGACUCUCUCCCACAAUGAAAACAUGAGUUGUAUGAGAACACAGGCUUAAGAAUCAAACAGCCCUGGAUUUUAAUCCUAAAGAGCUGUGUGAUUUUAAAUCAUUGACUUUAUUUUGAGUUUUGUUUCUCAACUGUAAAAAAAAAAAAGUGACAAUAAAACCUUCCUUGCAGGGUUAUUAGGAUUAAAAAACAAGAAACAAGAUCACACAUGCGGAAACACUAAACUCAUUAUUUGGCAUCUAGUAAGGCUGUGGAUUCCAAAUUUUGUUGCCACUGAAAAUCACCUGGAAAUCUGAUGCCUGGCUUCCACAACCAAACAUUGUGAUUUAUUGGGUAUGGGGUACAGCCUGGAGAUAGGGAUCUUUAAGCACUCCCCAGUUGAUUGUAAAAUGGACAGCAAAAUUUGGGAACCAUUGCAAUAAAGAACUAUUUCUGGUAAUUAAAUAGUAUGGCAAGUUCAGCAUGAUUUUAGCAGCAGCACUCAAGUUUUUUUAUAUAUUAUCUAUCCUUAAGUUCAGCUCUCCUUUCAGAAAGCCCUCAUAAGAUUACAUUUAAAAACUUUAGAUCAGUUUGCUUCUUGGUUUGCUUUUUCUCCAAAGUCAACAGUGGACAUAUUUAUCCAGUGAUACAAUAUAAGACUAGAGUGUGAAACUUCCACCUCCUUUUUACAUUGCUUAGGUAAAAAGAUGGUAGCUGUAAGACUUGAUUUCUACCUCAUACCAUACACAAAAAUUACUUUGAAAUGGAUCAUAGAGCUAAAUGAGGAACUAAAACAACUUCUAGAAGAAAGCAUAGAAUAUCAUCAGGAUGUUGAGAUGGGAAAAAUUUCUUAAACAAGAGACAAAAAUCACUAGCCAUGAGAAAAAAUGUGAUAAAUUGGAUUUAAAAUAAAAAACUAUUUAUGAAAACAAAUAAACAAAAAACUGCCAUUAUCCUGGCCUGCCCCUAUUUUACCAGUGUUUGACAUUGCACACAAUGAGUGACAUGCUGACUAAAGACGAAUCACCUCUUCAAAAGUGAACUCUCGCUCUCCAGCAAGUAGUGAAUUAUCUCAAUUGAUUGUUCAGUCACAGACAGAACUCCUUGCUCUACUCUUUCUCCCCCUCUCACUAGUGAACUUGGCAAGUUUUUAAAAGUAAACAAAGUGAACUCAUCAUGAAAAGACCUGGAAGAAUUCUGAUGCAUAUUGAUAAGAGAAAGAAGCCAGUCUGAAAAAAGCUACAUACUAUGAUUCCAACUGUAUAACAUUCUGGGAAAGAUGAAACUACAGAGACAAUAAAAAGAUCAGUGGUUGCCAGGGUUGGGAGUGAGAUGAGAGGGAGGAAGGUAUGAAUAGGUAGAGCACAUGAGCUUUUGAAGGCAGUGAAAUUAUUCUGCAUAAUGGCAGAUACAUGACAUUACACAUUUGUCAAAACCCACAGGACUGUAUAACACAAAAAGUGAACCCUAACGUGAACAACGGACUUUGGAUUAAUAAUAGUAUCAAGAUUCACUCAUCAGGCUGGGUGUGGUGGCACACACCUGUAAUCCUAGCACUUUGGGAGGCUGAGGCAGGUGGAUCACCUGAGGUCUGGAGUUCAAGACCAGCCUGGCCAACAUGGUGAAACCCUGUCUCCACUAAGAAUACAAAAAUUAGCCAGGCGUGGGGGCACACGCCUAUAAUCCCAGCUACUUUGGAGGCUGAGGCAGGAGAAUCGCUUGUACCUGGGAGGUGGAGGUUGCAGUGAGCCGACAUUGCACCACUGCACUCCAGCCUGGGUGACAGAGCCAGACUCCAUCUCAAAAAAAAAAAAAAAAAAAAAAAAAAAAGAUUGGCCGGGUGUGGUGGCUCAUGCCUGUAAUCCCAGCACUUUGGGAGGCCAAGGUGGGCAGAUCACUAGGUCAGGAGAUUGAGACCAUCCUGGCUAACACAGUGAAACCCCGUCUCCACUAAAAAUACAAAAAAUUAGCCGGGCACGGUGGUGGGCGCCUGUAGUCCCAGCUACUCGGAAGGCUGAGGCAGGAGAACGGCAUGAACCUGGGAGGCGGAGCUUGCAGUGAGCUGAGAUCGCGCCACUGCACUCCAGCCUGGGUGACAGAGCGAGACUCUGUCUCAAAAAACAAACAAACAAAACAAAAAACAAAAAACAAAACCCCAAACAAAACAAAACAUUGACUCAAUUAUAACCAAUGUGCCACAUCAGUGCAAGAUAGUAUGGGAAACUGAGGGAGAAGGGGGUAUUUGGAAACACUCUGUAUUUUCUGCUUUUUUGUAAACCUACAACUGCUCCAAAAAUAAAGUAUUAAAAAUAUAUACAUAUACAUAAAAAUGAACUAACGUGUUUUUGUAUUAUGAUAAUAUGGUAUCCCUGAAAAGUAACUUUUUCUGUGCUGCAUUAAUGAACUUAGUUAACAAAUUGCAUCCUGUCAAGUCAUCCUAAAUUACACACUUUUGGCAAUGGCUAGUUUUCAGGGCUAAAAGGAAAAAAAAUGACUUUGUAGAAGUCAAAAACCCACAAACCUAGCUUUAUGCAAAGCUUAAUUUUAUUGUCUAUGUAGUUAGAAAACAGUCUGAAAGAAAACUCAGUGUUAAAACUUAUCUAUAUAUAGGUGUUAUUGUAUAUCUAAAUUAUAAUCUUUGAUUCAAUUUUUAAAAAGGUGUCCACAAAUUUAAUUUUAAAGUCUGCUUCUGCUUUUUAAAGCACCUUCCUUAAAUGUAACCUAUUUUCUUUCUAACACCACUAUUUUUGCUAUGCAUUGGAGGUGAAACAUUUCUCUAUAAUCCUUAGAAAGUGCUUAUACUAAAAAAAAUCCAAUCUUUAAAAAUUUUUAAAGCUAAUAUGCCAAUCUUCUUCAUGUCGGAUAAAUUCAUCAGUCCAUCCAGAAAUGCAACUCAAUCUCACAACCUGAAGUAAUGUUUUCUAUAGAUAAUGGCACGUAUUAAAAAAAGUUUUAGAUACUUCCUACUGAAAAUUUGGAACUCCAAAAUAGCACUCACUACUUUAAAAAAAUUUUAUUGUUGAUAGCAAAAUUUCCAUUUCUAUGUUUUUGCAAUU